UACAGAGGCCUCAAGCGUUGUCCGGAAUUAUUGGGCGUAAAGAGCUCGUAGGCGGUCUGUCACGUCGGCUGUGAAAACCUGGGGCUCAACUCCGGGCCUGCAGCCGAUACGGGCAGACUAGAGUUCGGCAGGGGAGACUGGAAUUCCUGGUGUAGCGGUGAAAUGCGCAGAUAUCGGGAGGAACACCAAUGGCGAAGGCAGCUCGCUGGGACGUUACUGACGCUGAGACGCGAAAGCGUGGGGAGCAACAGG
rnacentral:rRNA from 1 species